rnacentral:rRNA from 1 species
UACGGAGGGUGCAAGCGUUUAUCCGGAUUCACUGGGUUUUAAAAGGGGUGCGUAGGUGGGUUGGUAAGUCAGUGGUGAAAUCUCCGGGCUUAACCUGGAAACUGCCAUUGAUACUAUCAAUCUUGAAUACCUUGGAGGUGAGCGGGAAUAUGUCAUGUAGCGGUGAAAUGCUUAGAUAUGACAUAGAACACCCAAUUGCGAAGGCAGCUC